UUCUUCAUGCUGUUUCUCUCUCCCUCUGUGGUUUGUUAUCAUUCAGCUCUACAAAGCUUUGUUUAACUCUAGGAAAGGCCAUAAGAGCUGGAAUUAGAUCCAAUUUUGUUUGUACAGGAGUGUGUGGCUAAGGCUGGGCCUUUGAAAAGGGUGCAUUAUACACUGGAGGGUUUGGGAGAUCAUUGUAACUAUUUCUUGAGGGUCAGACAGUACCAGAUUCAUUCUUCUCUUGUAACAUCUUACUCCACAGACGAGUCCCGUUUGCCAGAGCAAAGGACACCGUAGGAGCAUCUUUCCUGAGGAAGGACAUCUGUCACCUGUGCUAAGAGAACUCCAAGAGAGCACCUUGUUCCUCUGGAAAAGGCUACUGGUGAGCUGUGCUGGGGGCUUGGUGGUGGAAAAUGGAAUCCUGAAUCUCCCUGAACUCGGAUGGUUUGGGUAUGAAAAAGGAGGGCUCUUAGGCUGGAUGACAAGACUUUGUAGUACAUGAGACUUCAAACAAGUGGACACCUGAAUUUUAUUUUGGUUUUUUUCCCCCCAAGAAAUCAGCCCAUCAGCACUUGAAGCAGGGCUGUAGUGGUGGUGAGCACUUUGAAGUACAGGAGCAGAGAUGGCUGAAAAUCUGCCACGAUGGAAUUCA